CCUACGGGAGUCAGCAGUGGGGGAUAUUGGGCAAUGGGCGCAAGCCUGACCCAGCAACGCCGCGUGAAGGAAGAAGCCCCUCGGGUUGUACACUUCUUUUGUCAGGGACGAAACACAUGACGGUACCUGACUACUCCGCCACGGCUAACUACGUGCCAGCAGCCGCGGUAAUACGGAGGUGGCAAGCGUUCCCCGGAUUUACUGGGUGUAAAGGGCGUGUAGGCGGGAGAGCAAGUCAGAUGUGAAAUUCCAGGGCUCAACCCCGGAACUGCACUUGAAACUGUUUGUCUGGAGUGAGGGAGAGGCAGGCGGAAUUCCGUGUGUAGCGGUGAAAUGCGUAGAUAUAAGGAGGAACACCAGUGGCGAAGGCGGCCUGCUGGACAGUAACUGACGCUGAGGCGCGAAAGCGUGGGGAGCAAACAGGAUUAGAUACCCCUGUAGUC
rnacentral:rRNA from 1 species